rnacentral:rRNA from 1 species
UAUGGUUAUCCAAAGAUAGGGGGAUAGUGGCGAAAUACUUUUCGCAUUGGCUGAUAGCUGGUUAUUUUGGAAAUAUAUCUACGUAUAGCCCUUUUUGGGACAGGUUCUACAUUUAUAGUUGUUUCUGUUUUCUAAAAGGAGAUGGCUCUUUCAGGAUCAGCUGGGAGGGCGCUUAAAAAGGAUGGUUGGUGGAGUGUUGGGUUAGUAAGUGGGCUUGAAGAAGUUAUCUUUAGGGAGUGGGUUAUACCUCAAUCAGGCUCUUGAUGUAAAUAAUAAUAAAUUUUUCUUUAGGUUGUACAGAAUUUUCCUACGAAACUGCGGUAGUAGGAGUGAUAGUGUAAAUAUGAGUAGUCGAGAUGGUUGUUUUUGUUUUCUUGUUCUAGAAGAAAAGCUAGUAAGGGGGUGAUGAUUGGUAAACAAAGCUAAAGGAACUCGGCAAAAUAGGAGACCGCCUGUUUAUCAAAAACAUGGCUUUCUGAAAAGCAUAGGGAGUCGUGCCUUCCCAGUGGGCAUACG